rnacentral:rRNA from 1 species
UAGGGAAUAUUGCGCAAUGGUCGAAAGACUGACGCAGCGACGCCGCGUGUGGGAGGAAGCCUUUCGGGGUGUAAACCACUGUCAGAUGGGAAGAAACUCGCAUGCCCAAAUAGGGUAUGCGCCUGACGGUACCAUCAGAGGAAGCGCCGGCUAACUCCGUGCCAGCAGCCGCGGUAAGACGGAGGGCGCAAGCGUUGUUCGGAAUUACUGGGCGUAAAGCGCGGGCAGGUGGUCCGUUAAGUCUUUUGUGAAACUCCGGGGCUCAACCCCGGACAUGCAGGAGAUACUGGCGGACUAGAGACCGGUAGAGGCUAGUGGAAUUCCUGGUGUAGCGGUGGAAUGUGUAGAUAUCAGGAAGAACACCGGUGGCGAAGGCGGCUAGCUGGGCCGUGUCUGACACUCAUCCGCGAAAGCGUGGGGAGCAAACAGGAUUAGAUACCCCCGUAG